GAACCCAGCCUUUCUAAAGUCAAGGCACACCAGAAUUGAGACUAUUUUGGUAGCACCCUGAGGGUGUUGUACGAGGCCCCUGGAGUGUAGAAGGACCCACUGAGGAUCCAGCAACCCUGGACAGAAUGGUCUAAGUUUAGAUAGGACCAGUGCUCUGUUGUGAAUGGAGUGAGAAACAAAACCUCCAGGGUUAAUGAGAGAGCUCAGAACACUGUAUGCAGAACCAUCAAUGGGGUUCUGGGCCUGGGUUCUUUAAGAAGGCAGGCUGAGAAAGUCAAGGGGAGUUGCCGAUAAAGACCAUCCCUUCCUG
ensembl:lincRNA 1700081B01Rik RIKEN cDNA 1700081B01 gene